GGGGGAGGGGUAGCGACAAGAAGAUUAAAAGAGGGAAGCAGAGGAGUUGGGAGCUGGCGGUCGUUCCCGGGGAAGAACUGCUAAAACAUGAGACCAAGGCACAGACCUUACUGUAUGAGAAGCAAUGCUCCUCAAACCUUCUGCAUCCUGACAUAGACCUUCCCAGAAGCAAAACUGUUGGCGGCGACCUGAGCCCUGGAAGCCGAAGGGGAAGAGGAAGGAGACGCGAAGCCAGGGCGGCCGGCACAAAGGCGGCGGACUCGCGGCGGCAGCGCCUGCCCGGCCGGGAGCACAGCCCGCGGCCCUACUCCAGCGAAGUCCCGCACUGGCUUCUAGGAAUAAAGUUUACGUUCUCCUGUGGCCGCACCCCCCACCUCCCACCCAGGACGGCACAUCUCCGUGUCCUCCUCCCCCAAACUCCACUCGGGACCCCGAGAACCACCCCAGCCUUCCGGCCACCACAACAAAGAGCCGCACCGACCGGCGAGGGUAAACAGCGGCGGAGGGCGAGAGGGCGGCGGGGCGAGCGCCUCCACGCAGCAACUCCGGAGUCCCCCGCUUGCCCGAGCGCAGUUUCUCCGCUGCUGUUUCCACCGGCUUUGUAACACUGGGAAUUUACAUCCUCACCCGCACCCCUCACGCCCGAGGAUUUUAAACUCACCUUUACUUUCGAACUGAGAGUUGCGGUAGAUGGGAUUUUUGCCUUUUCCCCAGAUGGUUGAAGGUUAAGAUUUUUGGAAACCCCACCACCUCCUUAUUUCUAUUAUUAUUUCCGCAAGAAAAGUAUAAAGAGAGUUGUAGUGGAGGUGAGAUUUGUGAUCGGGAAAGCCUUCGACUCCCUCCUUCUCCGUCUUCCGCCUCUCUCUCUCUGAUUAGUUCCUAUCCAGCAGCAGAUUGAAGCAGGAGAUGAUUCUUCUCAAGGUUUGUUCAGCAGCUUCACUUCUAGGCGAAGGCUUCAUGAACCAAGUGACGUCAACCAACAAGGCUUCUCUCUCUCUCCUCUCUCUAACAAUGAAAGUUGCUGUUAACAAGGGAAAAAAAAGAAAGAGAAUUGUUUAUACCAUUUCAGUUCCAAUAAUAAAUGACCUAUCAGCUCCUAAAGGAGCCAAGGGAGGGGGUUGCUUCUUCUUUCCAAGAAUACUGUAGCUUUGAGUUUGCACCGUUCCUUGUCCCAGGAAAAAGUUAAGAAACUUAAAAUGUUUUGUUUUGCUUUUAAAGAAGACAGGACAGAAAACGGGAUUUAAAACUUAGUUUUUAAAAAACAAAAGCUACAGAGCAGGGAGCAUAGGUCAACCAUCUCCACCUAAACUUUUUUUGUUCCUAAACUCAGAAUUCUACAAACCAACUAAAUUAAUAUGCCGAGAUUUUGCGGAUGUUAAAACUCAAAAAGCAGGAUGCAAGAUGGUCCCGGGGUAAAAUUCUACUGCCUUUCUACGGACAAGUUAAACUGGCUGUAAUGUUUAUGCACUACGUUAAAAUAAAAUUUAAAUUAAAGACGUUAAAAUA